rnacentral:rRNA from 1 species
AUUGAACGCUGGCGGCAGGCCUAACACAUGCAAGUCGAACGAGUGGCGGACGGGUGAGUAAUGUCUGGGAAACUGCCUGCUGGAGGGGGAUAACUACUUGAAACGGUAGCUAAUACCGCAUACCAUCAGAUGUGCCCAGCUGGGAUUAGCUUGUUGGUGGGGUAACGGCUCACCAGGGCGACGAUCUCUAGCUGGUCUGAGAGGAUGACCAGCAAAACGGGAACGGAGACACGGUCCAGACUCCGACGGGAGGAAGCAGGGGGGAAGAUGGGACAAGGGGGGAAAGCCUGAGGCAGCCAGGCAGCGUGUAUGAAGAAGGCCUUGGGGUGGUAAAGUACGUUCAGCGGGGAGGCGUUACCCGCAGAAGAAGCACCGGCUAACUCCGUGCCAGCAGCCGCGGUAAUUC